AUGUCGACAAGCUCGGUUAGGUCAUCGCUCGGCGGCCGUUCGGUGGUGGUGCCGCUCAUAAUAUGCCCUUUUUGCCCUGCUCGUGUUAAGUUCUAUGUGUCGAACAUGGAGAAGCACGAGGGCUGGGUCUUCUACAGGUGUCUUGUUAGUGACCAUUUCUGGCAUUGGGAGUUGGAGUACGUUGGCUACUUGCUGGAUAAUCACUUUCUCGUUGGCAAUGAAGCCGUAGAUGCAUUAGGAGCUGCAGAGGAUAAGAGGGAAGAGCUGAUGUGA
rnacentral:rRNA from 1 species